rnacentral:rRNA from 1 species
UACAGAGACUGCAAGCGUUAUUCGGAUUCACUGGGGCGUAAAGGGUGCGCAGGCGGCCAAGUGUGUGAGGCGUGAAAGCCUGGGGCUUAACUCCAGAAUUGCACCUCAAACUACAUGGCUAGAGCAUUGGAGAGGGUAGCAGAAUUCACGGUGUAGCAGUGAAAUGCGCAGAUAUCAGGAGGAACACCCGGUGGCGAAGGCGGGUCUCUGGGCAACACUGACGCUGAGGAGCGAAAGCGUGGGGAGCAACAGG